rnacentral:lncRNA from 1 species
AAUCAAAGCGCUGUAAGCGCUGAAGGCAGUUAACCAAAAACCAAGGCAACCAAUAUGAAAACUGUGGCAAUUUUGCCUCAACAUUAAACAUUCAUAUAUAGUACAUUCAUGUUUAUCUAAUGAUUUAAUUUAUUAAGGCAAAUAAUUUAUAUGUUAUCAAGGUUUCAAAAGCAAUGCAUAUAUCAAUGUAUAUUUGUAAUAGUAUGAAUAGACUGGUUUCCCUGGAAAGAAAACUGAGUUUGUGUUCUAUAGUACAAAAGUUAUGAGACACGAAUCAGACAAAUGUUCACUACAAC